GUCCUACGGGAGGCAGCAGUGGGGAAUAUUGCACAAUGGGGGAAACCCUGAUGCAGCGACGCCGCGUGAGUGAAGAAGUAUUUCGGUAUGUAAAGCUCUAUCAGCAGGGAAGAAAUGCUGACCUUACGGUCAGCAGACGGUACCUGACUAAGAAGCCCCGGCUAACUACGUGCCAGCAGCCGCGGUAAUACGUAGGGGGCAAGCGUUAUCCGGAUUUACUGGGUGUAAAGGGAGCGUAGACGGCAGCGCAAGUCUGAAGUGAAAUCCCAUGGCUUAACCAUGCAACUGCUUUGGA
rnacentral:rRNA from 1 species